CAGAAUCAUAAUUUAAUUCAGAAAGUGUUCAGUAGAAACUGAAUGAAGCCCAGGAGGAGAUAUUGUUACUCAACAACUGUUAUGCUGAAUGUAAUAAAGAAAAAUCUCAACUGCAGAGAGACCUUAAAAUUGUCAAAGAUGACCUGCAGUGUAUGUCAUCUCAUUCAAAAACCAUAGCCCUAUAUUCAAUUAUUUUUGCUGUGUUGCUUGCAUUUCUGUUAACUUUCUGCCCAUCCAUCUCGCAUCUAACUGGAACCAGCGACACCAUCAACCAAACAUGAAGGAAAUGUCACCUAGAGGUGUCAUGUUCUUGUGUUAACUUUUUCCCAAGUCCAUGGUUUCAUGGUUCCUCAAACUUCAUUAGUGAAACACUUGUGAGCAGCUUGAGUAAUUUAGUACUGGAGGUAGCAUGUCUUGUGGACAAAUUCUUUAUCCAACUUUACAGUUAGUUAUGGACUCCACUGAGUGACCUUACAAUAGUGCAAAGCAGUGCUUAGUUUCAUCUGGCCACCAGUAGGCCAUGAAUUAUCUGUAGAUAUCUAUAUAUGAAUCCAGCUGUUCGAAAAUGACAGUGUAACAGCAAAGGUGCCAUAGUAAAUGAUGUUAUUAGUAUUCUUUUUGUGAUCAGUUUAUGUGGUGAUGUUUGGAAAAUGGUUGAAAGGUAGUAUAUUGUUUUAUCAUGUUUUAACUUCCAUUCUGCAGACAGUUCUAAAACCUAAAAAUACCUAAAUCCUUAUAUUGAAAAUAAUAUAUCUUUGUAACUUAUCAUUAAACACUAUAUUUUCUCUCUAUAUAUCAAUGGCUGGGAAUAAUUAUUUUUUUUGGUCUGUUGAAUAUUUGUGUAAGAAGGUUUACGUAUGAUACACUUCAUACAUCCAGAUGAUUCAACUCAAAGCUGGAAUUUUCACUGCCCUGUAAUGCCCUGUGUCUAGUCUUAUGCAGGGAAUGUUCCUUUCAUGUUUUAUGUUCUAGUUGUUGAAGUUUCUACAGAAAGUUCAUUAACAAGACUGUUUCUUAUGUUUGUAUGUGUAAUUUUGUUCUGUUGUACAGAUAAAUUUGGAAGCUGCACAAAGGUUUAUAUUGUAUAUAUGUGGUUGUCAAGCUUCCACUCAUUGUGUGGAAGAACAGAUAUUACUGUAAUUACAGUGUUAUUUUCAAGAAGUGUAAAAACAUUAUUAUUAAUGUCCCAGAAAACUAGAAAGUUUCUGUUGAUGAGAUUUGUAAUCUACUGAAAAAGCAACAAUUUGGUACUAAACCUUCACAAAAACAGAGUUUCAAUAGAUCAUGUUUCAAUGUAAAUUCAUUUUUUUUUUUCAUAAUCACUUUUGUUACAAUAAGACCUGUUAUUCUACUUAAUUUUAAUUCCUAGUUAACUUGAAAAAAGUAAGUGAAUGAAGGCAGCAUAGAAUGCACGUAUCUGUGUGAAUAUUUUUUAUGUAUCAGAAUUUAAGUUAGUUUUAUAUGGAAUGUUUGGUGUCUUGAAACUGGUUAUGUCAUGGCAAGUUUGUGUUUCCGUAACACACAAACACACAUUUAUUUAUAUGUUUGUGUAUUUAUAUUAGCAAUUCGUAAAAAUGUUAUUUAAUAAAUCCCAAGUCCACAGACUGUUCUACUUCAUUGCGACAAAUAUAUUUACUAACUCAAGUCUAAGUACAAAUUUAAACUUCACUUGUGGUUUCUUUUACCCAAACAUUAUAUAUCAAGAGUGUAAUUUAAUUGAAAAAAUCUUUACAAUGUUAUCAGGGUAGAAGUUGAUGUGUUUUGUUACUCUUUUGGGUCUGAUAAAACAUCACUCUUAAGUUAUGAAAGGUAAGCAAAAUAUUGCAGCUAAUAAAACAAUGUUCUUAAGGUAUGGAAAUAGAGCAGAAUAUUGCAGCUAAAAAACAUCAUUUUUAAGGUAUACAAAAAGAACAGAGUAUUGCAUCUAAUAAAACAAUAUUCUUAAGGUAUACAAAUAGAACAGAAUAUUGCAGCUAAUAAAACAUUCCUAAGGUAUGGAAAUAGAACAGAAUAUUGCAGCUAAAAACAUCAUUCUUAAGGUAUACAAAUAGAACAGAAUAUUGUGGCUAAAAUCAUCAUUCUUAAGUUAUGGAAAUAGAGCAGAAUAUUGUUGCCAAUAUUUUUUUUAUAAUUUUGUUCUACUGAAAUAGAGUGUAUGUUAAGAUAGGGUUUUCUUAUAGCUAGAUGCUCUUCUACUUGAAGGAUUUAGAAAAUGGUCACCACUGUGCUAUGUCUUGAUUCUUUAGUAAUUUUAACAAGAUCUUUACUAAUUUCUAGAUUUACUUUUUAGUCUGUUCCUUUAAGUUACAAGAAUUACCACCUGUCAUCGGUAGCUUGAGAUUAAGUUGGAGCAAAAAACUGUUUAAGUAAAAUCUUUUUAAUUUUUCUUCAGAAAUUGUGAGCAUCAUCAUCAUAUUUAACAGAUUGUAGUAUCAUAUUACGACUACUGAGAAAUGAUUGGGAGAAGUAAUGCUGCUAUGUUUACUAAAUCCUUUUAAUAUCUUAUAGGACCUUUAUCGAUAAAUGGGCAAGUCCAAGAGUCUGUUAGCAGUUAUUAUAAUCAUUGGUUUUAGUUGUCUCAUUUGAUGUCUUUCAGCAUAACCCAGGAGCUUGCAAUCAUCAAAACUGGUCUAAUCCAAAAAAAAGAGAAGGAAUUCAAGCAGUUAUAGAAAUUAAUAAAGCCACUGUGGUUUAAUCUCAAUGUACAAAAUAUCUUGUAUCAUUCAUUAUACAACACUUUCUUAUUUGGCUGCUGGCGUUUUUGGAGGUAUUAUGUUCGUGAAAAACAUGUUGAAAUUGGACACAAAAGGAUUUUCUGAGUAACAUUCACAUCUGUAUAACACUAAACUAAUAUUUUAUAACAAACUAAGUAUUGGAAAGAAUGUUCAAGCGGAUAACGCACUCACGUGGAAAAAAUAUUAGAUUAAUUCAUU
rnacentral:lncRNA from 1 species